GACGAACGCUGGCGGCGCGCUUCAAGCAUGCAAGUCGAACGAGAACCCCGGGCUUGCCCGGGGGGAGAGUGGCGAACGGGUGAGUAACACGUGAGGAACCUGCCCCGAAGACCGGGAUAACGCCGGGAAACUGGUGCUAAUACCGGAUGCCCUCGCCGAACCGCAUGAUUCGGCGAGGAAAUGGAUUCCGCUUCGGGAUGGCCUCGCGUCCUAUCAGCUUGUUGGUGGGGUAACGGCCCACCAAGGCAGCGACGGGUAGCUGGUCUGAGAGGAUGUCCAGCCACACUGGGACUGAGACACGGCCCAGACUCCUACGGGAGGCAGCAGCUAGGAAUCUUGCGCAAUGGACGAAAGUCUGACGCAGCGACGCCGCGUGCGGGAUGAAGGCCCUAGGGUCGUAAACCGCUUUCAGCAGGGACGAAACUGACGGUACCUGCAGAAGAAGCCCCGGCCAACUACGUGCCAGCCGCCGCGGUAAAAC
rnacentral:rRNA from 1 species